AAUUGGAGGAGAGCCCAAGAGAAAUUUUUCAUCCCUUGAUAGAAAAGGGCUCGGUGAAUUUUAACUUUGGAGUCCUCUAUGCUAAGGAUGCUCAGCCUGCAGAUGAUGAAAUGUUCAGUAAUGUAUUUGCUGCAGCUCUGCUUACCCAAGCUUUGGGUUCCUUCUGUCCCACUGGGAGUUGCCCAAUUUGGUUGCAUCUGGUGAAAUUCACC